UUGACCUCAAAUCAGGUAGGAUUACCCGCUGAACUUAAGCAUAUCAAUAAGCGGAGGAAAAGAAACCAACAGGGAUUGCCUUAGUAACGGCGAGUGAAGCGGCAAAAGCUCAAAUUUGAAAUCUGGCACCUUCGGUGUCCGAGUUGUAAUUUGAAGAAGGUAACUUUGGAGUCAGCUCUUGUCUAUGUUCCUUGGAACAGGACGUCACAGAGGGUGAGAAUCCCGUGCGAUGAGAUGUCUGAUUCUAUGUAAAGUGCUUUCGAAGAGUCGAGUUGUUUGGGAAUGCAGCUCUAAGUGGGUGGUAAAUUCCAUCUAAAGCUAAAUAUUGGCGAGAGACCGAUAGCGAACAAGUACAGUGAUGGAAAGAUGAAAAGAACUUUGAAAAGAGAGUGAAAAAGUACGUGAAAUUGUUGAAAGGGAAGGGUUUGUGAUCAGACUUGGUAUUUUGUAUGUCUUGCUUUCGGGUGGGGCCUCUACAGUUUACUGGGCCAGCAUCGGUUUGGACGGUAGGAUAAUGACAUUGGAAUGUGGCACCACUUCGGUGGUGUGUUAUAGACUUUGUUGAUACUGCCUGUCUAGACCGAGGACUGCGUCUUUGACUAGGAUGCUGGCAUAAUGAUCUUAAACCGC
rnacentral:rRNA from 10 species